GACGAACGCUGGCGGCGUGCUUAACACAUGCAAGUCGAACGAAGUGGCGAACGGGUGAGUAACGCGUAAUCAACCUGCCCUUCAGAGGGGGACAACAGUUGGAACCGACUGCUAAUACCGCAUACUGAAGGAGGGGAUUGCGUCUGAUUAGCUAGGUGGGGGGGUAACGGCCCACCAAGGCGAGGGUCAGUAGCCGGUCUGAGAGGAGGAACGGCCACAUUUGGACCUAGGCACGGCCCAGACUCCCACGGGAUGCAGCAGUGGGGAAUCUUCCGCAAUGGACGAAAGGCUGAAGGAGCAAAGCCGCGGUAGUGAUGACGGGCUUCGGGGUGGAAAGCUCUGUUAAUCGGGACGCGGUACCGGAAUAGAAAGCCACGGCUAACUACGUGCCAGCAGCCGCGGUAAUAC
rnacentral:rRNA from 1 species